CACAGAGAAGAGGAGGAGAAGAGACGGUUCUUCCUUUUUUUUCCAUUAACAAGUUUUUAGUCUUCGGUAUUCUCUCUUCACUUCAUAGGGUGUCAUUUGUCCUUGGCUCCUCCUUGUAUAUUAUUAUUGUUAUUAUUAUUGUUUUAAUAUUGUUAUUAUUAUUAUGGUCACAAGACAGGGAUUUGGGCAGGGGAGGAAGACGUUUGAUGGAGCUGGGCUCACUAAUGGUUAAACAACGCUAAGAGGUCUUUGUGAUGUUAAAUUAAGGAGCUGGUCUAGCCCAGAGAAGUGGAUGGGGCACAAAAACCUUGGGUAUCUUAGUGGGGUGACCUGAGGUUUUAAUCCCUGUGUUUUUGGAACACUAGCGACAUGACCGCUGCAGUCCUACUUGUGGCCAGGAGGUGGCGGUGCAAGCACGCUCCUGUCUCUCUGUGUUAGGGUCACUCGCGGAGCGCAGGACUCAAACACAGGGCCCAGGUCCGGGCUCCUCAAUCUCUGCUCCUGUGAAAUCUGCAACGGUUCAGACCCCGGGAUGCAGGGAAGGUCAGUUAACGACAAAGUGAGCUGCUUCGAGUGAUGGCUUUUAGCGCCUGUUAAAAAUGAAAAAGGGGCACACCCUGGAGCCCUGCAGGUUUGGGUCACCCUGGAAACGGGCACGCCCUGCACCCCUCCAGGGUUGGGUCGCCCUGGAAACAGGCACGCCCUGCAGCCCUCCAGGGUUGGGUAGCCCUGGAAACGGGCACGCCCUGCACCCCUCCAGGGUUGGGUCACCCUGGAAACAGGCACGCCCUGCAGCCCUCUAGGGUUGGGUAGCCCUUGAAACAGGCACACCCUGCACCCCUCCAGGGUUGGGUCAGCCUGGGGUUGAACGACGGCUCGUAUGAAAGGCUGCAGGUGAGGGGCAUGUCAUGGAGUAAUGGCCCGGUGGGCGGCUGUGAUCCUUACGUGUGCUUUACACCUUUAGUGUUAUGUGUGAGCCCAGUUACACACACCAUGGUAUGAUGGAAACUACAACUGGCCUACACCCUGCGGUACAGCAUAACGCACCCUGACACGCCACGACACUACACACCCAAGCACAUCAGCAUAGCACUACAUACCCAAAAACAUCACAAAACGCCCGGUUACAACAGAACUCUGCAAACUGCACCACCUAACACAACUCACAACUUGGACAGUCUCUGUGAUACUAGAGCGCUGCAUGUCCCAGGAUAAGGCAACACUAUUCUGCCCAACACAGGCUCCUCCCGUAUACUACUCGAUCGCACACAGCAUGGCCCUACAGCGCAGAGCUGAGCUUAUUUAACCCUGCUCUUUCCAGCAAGGUUGAUGGCAGCUGUGAGGAAGGAGAUGGGGCUCCAACGCGUGUCAAAUGGCUACCCUUACCCUCCACCUGUCUGGAGUUUACCUGCUUCUGUUACCUGUGUAAACCCACAGGCCUGGUACAUCUCUCUGUCCUGCUUUCAUGGGAGACGAAGGCUCUACUGUUUCCCUGACUCACUGCCGCCACUGUGACUCUGUGCUGUUACACUGACUCGCUGUGAUUGGGUGCUGUUACGCUGACUCAUUGUGAUUGGGUGCUGUUACACUGACUCAUUGUGAUUGGGUGCUGUUACACUGACUCAUUGUGAUUGGGCACUGUUACACUGACUCACUCUGUCUUAGUCCUGUCACAGGGGCUCAUUGUGGUUGCUGUGUCUGUGCUGUUACAGUGACUCUGCUGUCGUGGGUCUCACUCAUUGCUGUUACUCUGAGUCACUGAUCACUGUGACUCGGUCCUGUCACAGGGACUCCCUGUAGUGGCUCUGAAUAAUCGGUGGUUAACUGACUUGCUGUGACUUGGUCCUGUUACACUGACUCACUGUAGUGGCUCUGACUCAUUGCUGUUACUCUCACACACUGUGGUUGCUCAGACUCUGUGCUGUUACAGUGACUCACUCAGUUCGCUUCUAUUCAAUGCUAUAACACUGAUGCCCCUUUUGGUCACACUCACUCUGUGAGUCUGUUACGGCGACUUACUGACUCGAGCUUGUGACACGGAUUCAGACCUGCAGGAUUGACUCACGGAUUCAGACCUGCAGGAUUGACUCACGGAUUCAGACCUGCAGGAUUGACUCACUGAGUCAGUCUUGUCACAGUUGCUCGUUGACUCACACACAACAGCGGUUCUGGACUGGCCUGGCCUGGCCUGUUCAUUGACGUACACAGAGAACCCUGGCAGGGUCCAGAACCCAGCCCAAACGAACAUCGUUGGUGGGAAAUGAGAGCGUGAAAUGCAGGCAAGGAUUCCUGAAAGCUUAUCCCUGUGAGUGACAGGUGACCUUUGACCCCUCUGUACCAGACAGGGGUUGGUUGUUAGCAAGGGCUUAUGGGUAAAUAUUAUUACGCGGGAUUACUUUUUUUCUCCUCGACUUUAUCUUUUGCAUGCUGGACCUACAUGCACAUGCAGUUUGGAACUGAUAAAAAAUGAAAAAAUUCACCACACAACAAUAGACAAAUGAAAAUAAUUAGAAUCAUGUUUUAACAUCUUAACUUGCUUUUUAACCAACUUCAGGCUUCGAAAAGGGAAGUUAAAGAUUCAGCCAUUGUAAUUAUUAUAAAUGUGCAUUUCUUGCUGUAUAGUACAAGUAUUUUUAUGUUUUUACCUGAGUCUAUGUAGCACCUGGUCCCCUGCCCACAGUCAUGUGACUCUGCAGUUCACUACCUGAUUCUGUACAGAUCAUAUAUAUAUAUAUAUAACAUUCCAUGUUUACAACUAUGUACUGCUUCCUGUACACUCGAGGACUUCAUUUCCUUUGCUGCAUCGCCCCCUUGCUGUGUGGAGUCUUUAUUUUUCCUCCCCUGUACACUUAUAAAAAAAAAAAAAAUUUUUACAGCUUUUUUUUUAACAGUUGUCCAUCAGAACAUGCUAUA